ncrna:unclassified sequences c4-2 RNA
CACCCGGUCGUGUUCGGUAGCGGUAACGCCCGAAAGGUUUCGCUCUAAGAACCUUGACAACACGCAACCGGGUUUU